rnacentral:rRNA from 1 species
CCGACGGUGAGGGAUGAAGGCUGGGGGCGCAAACCGGAUUAGAUACCCGGGUAGUCCCAGCAGUAAACGAUGCCAGCUAUGUGUUGCUGGAACCAUGGGUUCCAGCAGUGCCGAAUGGAAGCCGUGAAGCUGGCCACCUGGGAAGUACGGUCGCAAGGCUGAAACUUAAAGGAAUUGGCGGGGGAGUACCACAACCGGUGGAGCCUGCGGUUUAAUUGGAUACAACGCCGGGAAUCUUACCGGAGGGGACAGCAGUAUGAAGGCCAGGCUAAAGACCUUGCCAGAUCAGCUGAGAGGAGGUGCAUGGCCGUCGCCAGUUCGUACCGUGAGGCAUCCUGUUUAGUCAGGCAACGAUCGAGACCCGCAGUCUUAUUUGCCAGCAUGCCCUUUGGGGUGUAUGGGUACAAUAAGACGACCGCCAGCGCUAAGCUGGAGGAAGGAGCGGGCUACGGUAGGUCAGCAUGCCCCGAAUCCUCCGGGAUACACGCGGGCUACAAUGGUCAGGACAAAAGGUACCGACCUCGAAAGAGUGAGGUAAUCCACAAACCUGAUC